rnacentral:rRNA from 1 species
AUGAACGCUGGCGGCGUGGAUAAGGCAUGCAAGUAGAACGCCCCGCAAGGGGAGUUGCGAACGAGGUAGUAAUACAUAGGUACAAACCCCCGAGUCAGGAAUAACCUACCGAAAGGUAGGCUAAUACUUGAUAGUCCCGCAAGGGUAAAGAUUUAUCGCUUGGGGAUUGGCCUGUGCAGUAUCAGCUAGUUGGUAAGGUAAUGGCUUACCAAGGCUAUGACGCUUAGGAGACCUGAGAGGGUGACCUCCACCGAUGGUACUGCGACACGGACCAUACACCUACGGGUGGCUGCAGUCGAGAAUCUUCCGCAAUGGACGCAAGUCUGACGGAGCGACGCCGCGUGACUGAUGAAGUCUUUCGGGAUGUAAAGGUCUUUUAUGAAGGAGAAAGUUUUGAUAGUACUUCAUGAAUAAGGGGUUGCUAAACUCGU